UACGUAGGGUGCAAGCGUUGUCCGGAAUUAUUGGGCGUAAAGAGCUCGUAGGCGGUUUGUCGCGUCUGCUGUGAAAACCCGAGGCUCAACCUCGGGCCUGCAGUGGGUACGGGCAGACUAGAGUGCGGUAGGGGAGAUUGGAAUUCCUGGUGUAGCGGUGGAAUGCGCAGAUAUCAGGAGGAACACCAAUGGCGAAGGCAGAUCUCUGGGCCGUAACUGACGCUGAGGAGCGAAAGCAUGGGGGAGCGAAAGGG
rnacentral:rRNA from 1 species